GACGAACGCUGGCGGCGUGCCUAAUACAUGCAAGUCGAGCGGACGGAUGGGAGCUUGCUCCCAGACCGUCAGCGGCGGACGGGUGAGUAACACGUGGGCAACCUGCCUGUAAGACUGGGAUAACUCCGGGAAACCGGGGCUAAUACCGGAUAACUCUUUCCCUCACAUGAGGGAAAGCUGAAAGAUGGCAUCUCGCUAUCACUUACAGAUGGGCCCGCGGCGCAUUAGCUAGUUGGUGAGGUAACGGCUCACCAAGGCGACGAUGCGUAGCCGACCUGAGAGGGUGAUCGGCCACACUGGGACUGAGACACGGCCCAGACUCCUACGGGAGGCAGCAGUAGGGAAUAUUCCGCAAUGGACGAAAGUCUGACGGAGCAACGCCGCGUGAGUGAUGAAGGUUUUCGGAUCGUAAAACUCUGUUGUCAGGGAAGAACAAGUACCGGAGUAACUGCCGGUACCUUGACGGUACCUGAACAGAAAGCCACGGCUAACUACGUG
rnacentral:rRNA from 1 species